ACCGACGGGACUGGGCCACGGCCCAAGUGCCUCAGGGGAAGACGAGGCCCGGAAGCCCCGAGGCCGGUAGGGGCCAGAAGAGGGUUACAGGGAGCCCCCAGGCCUCUACCAGCCGUCGCCCGCAGCCUAGAGCUAACUCCUCUGCCCCGGAAAGGCGGGGCCUCCGCCUUUCCCGCGUACGGGUCUCGCCGCCCCGCUCAGCCUCCUCGUAGGCCUUGCGCCAUUGCUGCUACUAUCGGCCGAACGGGGGCGCGGAGCUGGCCCCGGGGCGGGAUGCGGCCUCCCCUGGGGCGGUGGUGGCUGCUAAUCUGGCUGCAGCCCUUGUCCGCGCCGCCCGCUGGCGCGGUGCGCGGAGAGGAGGAGGUGGCGGCGGCGUUGGCAGUUCCAAGGUGUAAAGCUCUGAAGGAAAUGGAUUUAAUUAAAACUUCUGAGUCAGACUGUUACUGCUACAAUCGAAAUUCCCGAAUGGAGUGGAAAUACAUGUGGUCAACUCUGCAGGUGAAAAUUACCAGUUCAGGCCUGCUCAAUAUUGCAUAUAUCACAGGAAGACAUAAUUGUCAGUAUCCAGAAACCAUUCUAUCUUUUAUCAAAUGUGUGAUUCAUAAUUUUUGGACACCAAAGGAGUCUAAUGAAGUUACCAUAAUCAUCAAUCCAUAUGGAGAGACCAUGUGCUUCUCUGUGAAGCCUGUCAGGAAGAUAUUUAUCUAUACAAUUAGUGUGAAUCGAAACAUUGUGGAUUUCAAACUCUUCCUUGUGUUUGUAGCAGGUAUUUUCCUCUUCUUUUAUGCAAAGACCUUGAGUAGAAGUCCUAUUUUCUUUUACUCUUCUGGGACUGUGCUAGGUGUUCUAAUGACGUUAGUCUUUGUCCUGCUUCUGGUGAAAAGGUUUAUUCCUAAGUAUAGCACCUUUUGGGCUCUAAUGGUUGGUUGUUGGUUUGCUUCAGUUUAUGUUGUAUGCCAUUUGAUGGAAGAUCUGAAGUGGCUAUGGCAUGAAAACAGAAUAUAUAUAUUAGGCUAUGUUUUGGUAGCUGGAUUGCUCAGCUUUGCUGUUUGUUAUAAGCAUGGGCCCCUGGUUGAUGAAAGGAGCGUGACUCUUUUGACGUGGACACUGCGGCUCCUCGCCCUGGUUCUGAUCUAUUGUGGAGUCACCGUGCCCCAGGGCUCCUAUGCAGCUCUGAUCCUCAUCCUGGCCUCCAGGAGUCUACGCUACCCACUGAAGGCGUUCACUUAUAUGAGGUGGAAAAUGAAGAAAUGGUGGACAUCCAAGAAGCCAGUGUUUAAGUAUCUUACUGAAGAUGAAUACCGGGAACAGGCUGAUGCUGAGACAAGCAGUGCCCUGGAGGAGCUGCGUGGAGCCUGCCGCAGGCCCGACUUCCCCACGUGGCUGGUAGUCUCCAGACUCCAGGCUCCUAACAACUGGAUCUGAUCCUGGACCGACCUGGGACUUCCAGCAUAGGCAUAGGAAGCCUACCCAGUAGAAGGCAGAGCUGGUAGACGAAGAAACCCAGGUUCUGACUGCACCAUAUGAGCUCCGAUUAAAGCUACCCCUACAGGUAUCUGCUAGACUUUGCAGUUGGACAAUACAUUCCUUGUUUUCCUUAAGCCCCUUUGAGUAAGGUUUUCUGCUUCCUCAAGUGAAAAGAGUCCUAAGUGAGACAAGAUCUUAGCUACCUUGUGAGGUAGCAAGUUCCACAUCACUAGAAGCGGCCAAAGACUAAGUAACCAUCUGCCGAGGAUUAGGGGGAAAGAAAUCUAAACUGGGCUCAAGCUAAGCCUAUGUGAUGGUAUUAGUUUGCUAGCUCUACCAUAACAAAUACCUCAGACUGGGUGACUUAAACAGCAGAAUUGAUUUUCUCACAAUUCUGGAGGCUAGAAAUCUAAGAUCGAGGUAUCAGCAGUAUUAGUUUCUUCUAAGGCCUCUUUCCUUGGCUUGUAGAUGGCUGUCUUCUCCUUGUGUCCUCACAUGGUCUUUCUUCAAUGUGUGCCUGUGUCCCAAUCUCCUUUUCUCAUAAGGACACCCAUUAUAUUAGACACUGGUCUAUGCUAAUGACUUCAUUUCAACUACCUUUUAAAUUUUUUUAAAUGUUUAUUUUUGAGAAAGAGAGAGAUAGCCCAAGUGUGGGAAGGCAGAGAGCAAGGGGGACAGAGGAUCCGAAGCAGGCCCCACGCUGACAGCAGAGAGCCCAACAUGGGGCUCAAACCCACAAACCACAUGAUCAUAACCCAAGUCAAAGUCAGACGCUUAACUGACUGAGCCACCCAGGCGCCCCUUAACUACCUCUUUAAAGACCCUGUCUCCAAAUGCAGUCACAUUCUGAGGUAUUAGAGGUUAGGAGUUCAGUAUAUGAAUUUGGGGGAGGGGACACAAUUCAGGCCACAAAAAUGAUCUCCAAGGUUACUUAGAAUUCCAACAAAAUUUAGUAUAGAAUGCCGUGCUUUACUCAAGAGCUAUUUAUUCCGUGGAUCAGAAAUAAAAUGUAUGAUGCCAGUGGUAGCUGCCCUGGGCUUCUGAAGUCAGCAUGAGGCUGCACCCUUAGAAAAGAAUUGUUAGCAGUUUGUACAACCCAAUCCAACUAUAUUUAUUCAUUUAUGUUAUCUAGGGGACUGCUAUUUACUUUUCCAGUGGUUGAUGUAGAGUGAAAGGCUUUGACAAACAGUGCUAAUUAAUACGUUUUUACAACAGGCAGCAUGGUGGGGCCUAGGCUGCACCUUGUCUGAAGUGAUGUCAUCCAGGGCACAGACAUACUGGCAGUAGACUUUUCUCAGGAAUGGUCAUAACUGCCUUCACUAGCAUUAAAUAAAAUGCAAAUAAAAUAAAAUGCAAACAUCUCAGCAAGGGCAGCCAAGUCUUUUACAAAUUCUGAGCCAGUACAUGGAUAAAUGUUCAAGUUUUAUAGUUCUAACUUCCAUUCAAAUCUACUGGCCUUCCAGAAAGAAAAUCCUCUAUACAGAUCCACUAUCAUAAAUCACAUUGCCCAUCUCUGACCAGACAGUCUGUUGUCACGGCAUCGCCUGGAUGAAUUUGCAUGAAUGGCAGUGUGCACAUUUCUGAUUUCUCAGCAAAACCCAUUCAGAGUCUGAGUCCUUGCAGGGGUGGGCAGGGAGCAGUGAGGUCUGAUGUGUGGUUUUUCACAUACUAAAACCAACCACAGUAGAAAGUUAGAUCAUUAGAGUCAGAACUCAAAGAAGCCACAGCCAUUAAGUCCAACCGUCUUAUAAAGACAAGGAAAUAGAGGUCCAGACAGGCAGAAUGGGGGCCUCAAAAUCCAUUAGCCAGUGAAAGUCAAGGUCCCUGCUCCCUUGCCCUUUGGCUCUUUUGGUAGAUAAUAACAAUGUGCUGUGUUCCUACUCCAGGGUUCCUACAUGAAGUCAGACCUAGACUUCUUCACAGGGCCUGAAGAAACGCCUGUGGAUUGGACCAGUAACGACAGGGCCUGGUGACGCUAGUGUGGUUAUGCCUAUGGUAUGGUAUGGUUACCAUACCAUAGCUAUGGUAACAGCUAUGCGUUUGGAUCAAGGAAGUGGGAUAUAUGUUUGAGUUGACUUUAGAAGACAGUUAACAUUUUAAACUUUGAUGAAUCAUUAAGAGGAAUGGCAUAAGAGGAAAGUAGUAAAGCAAAUGCCAGUCAACAGCUGCCCAAUAUCCUGGAUCAAAAAAGAAAAGUUAAGAGGAAAAUUUUGUUAUGAGAUAAAAUGGGUCAAAAACCUAUUUCUCCUGAGGUAGCCCGAGAAAGUUCAGGUGUCAAUGCUAAGGCAGCACACAAGGUGAGCCAGGAUUUCUGUCCCCAAGCAGACAGACUUUGAAACCAAAUAAUCAGAAAUUGACUAUCUGGCUUGGGCUGGGUAAGGAACAGAAAUUAGGGAGGGGCACCCCCCCCACACACACACACACCCCUAACAGGAUUGUAAGGGGAGAGCAAAGACAGGGGCUAAGAGUCUCCAUCUUGUGUAGGUCCAACCGACUCAGGCUGUGUUCAUCAACACUUCAGGUCUCUAGACCCGCCUGGGAGGUCUUUGAGAUGGGCUUAGCCCACCAGGGGGUUGAAAGUUGCCCGGAUCUUUUCCUUUCCUUGAUCCCUAAAGUAGCUCCACAGAACCCACUGUGAAGAGUCAACUACUCUACGUACCAACACUGAAUUUGAGCUAUCUCCCUCUCUUUCUCUCUUUCUUGAACUUUCACUAGCUUUCAGACUUAAUUCAAUGUAAUCCCAACUCACAAUGCUAAACACUUUCCCUGAAGUGAAAAUUAGGUUAUGGGUUUUUCAAGAAAGAACAAAAAAAUACAAUUUCAGUAAACUCCUGCCCCAAACUUGUCAAUUAAUACAUUUUUAUGACUAGAAAUUUUGUUCCAUUCUUUUUCAAAAUAGGAAACUGUAACUGAAUAUUAGAUUCUGUCCAAACCCACUCCUCUUCCCCCUCUUUUGUGACAUUAAGGAAAAAAGACCAUCAACCUCAGUGGCCUUGAGACCUCUGCUUACUGCAGGCCCCUCACCAUGCCUAACCCUUCAUACUAGUGUUUCUAUAAUGUUCUCCAAUUCUUUAGCAUUUUUCCCACUUACUAUCUCAUUUGUUCCUGCCAAUAAUCUUCUGAAAUAGGAAGGGCAAGAGUUCUCAUGAAUCCUAUUUUGCAGCUAAAGAAAUCAAGGCCCUGAAAGGUGAACCAAGUUGCCAGAGUCACAAAACUAAACAAAUCUCAGAACCAAGACUCAACUUGAGGACUUCUGCUGUCAAAUCCUACACCCUUCCCAUAGUCAGCAGAUCUCCUCCACCCUGACCAUGAGGAUUUGAGGCAAACAGAGAAAUUGAAAGGGUACUCUUUUACACACACACACACACACACACACACACACCAAUGACCAUUCUACCUUAAAAAUCUUGUUUCACAAAAAUUUGCUGUGAUAUUCUACUUGCAUUUGAAACAUACUAGAUUUCUAACAAAAUCUUGUUGAUAGAACUAAGAAUAACUUAAUAGUAAUAACUUAGUAGUAACGAAAGAGUAUUCAUAAUUAAGAGUAACUUGGUUAAGAGUAAUCAAGUAAUAAUGAAACUAGUCUUCAUCUACUUUGAUGGAUGCCAACAUUAUUAUCUGAUUCACUGAAAAGAGUAUGGGAUCUACCAGCCAGAGACCUGGGCUGAGUCCCCACCCCACCAUUCAGAAGGGCAGACCUUGGGCAAUCAUAGCAAAUCUGUUCCUUCUUAGUCAUGCAUGGUGGAUCUGCCCAUCCAACCAAUGUAAACGCCACCAGGAAUGGAGUACACAUGCAGAAAAAGAAGUUUACCACUGCUUGACUCACUCUCACAGUCAUCCCAAUGUUAAGCCACACAUCACUCCUACUCCAGUAUCCUCUGACUCUUAGAAUCUUUGGGAAUCCCAGCCCUCUCUAACCUUCUCAGGCUCUCCUUGCUCUGUUAGGACAUAGUCCAUAUGAUAGCCUUAGUCACCUCAGGCUAUCAUAACAAAAUACUACAGAAUGGGUGGCUUAAACAAGAGAAAUCUAUUUUCUAACAGUUCUGGAACAUGGAAAUCUGAGAACAGGGUGCCAGCACUGUUGGAUUCUGCUGAAAACCCUCUUCUUGACUUGCAGAUGGCCACCUUCUCACUGUGUCCUGCCAUGGUGGAGAGAAAGAGCCAGAGCAAGCUCUCUAGUGUCUCUUCUUAUAAGGGUACUAAUCCCAUCAUGAAGCCCCCACCCUCAUGAUUUCAUAUAACCUUAGUCACCUCCCAAAGGCCCCAUCUCCAAAUACCAUCACACUCGGGGUUAGGGCUUCAACACAUGGAUUUCAGGGUGGACACAAUUCAGUCCAUAGCAACAGGACUCUCUGUUCUUUUUUUUUUUUUUAAUUUUUUUUUUUAAGGUUUAUUUAUUUUUGAGACAGAAAGAGACAGAGCAUGAGCAGGGGAGGGUCAGAGAGAGAGGGAGACACAGAAUCUGAAACCGACUCCGGGCUCCGAGCUGUCAGCACGGAGCCCGACGCAGGGCUCGAACUCACGGACCGUGAGAUCAUGACCUGAGCCGAAGUCAGACGCUCAACCGACUGAGCCACCCAGGCGCCCCUGGGCUUCUCUGUUCUUAAUACCCAUGUUCUCUGACACAAUUAGGAACCUACCCUGGGGCUCCAUGAACCCUGGCUGCAGGUUCUCAGGUGCUCCACCCCAGGCCCCCAGGGAGUCAACAUGUCUUUUCCACCAAUGGAGAUUAUCCGGCUCUCAUCAAGCCACUGUAAAAUGAAUAUAACAAAACUUAACUGUUUUGUCAAGUGGCUAUAACAAUAAAAAUAUUUAUGAAAACUGUAUAAAUUGUAAAGCCUACAAUAUUAUUUCCAUUUAUUUUUAUUGGUGAUCUAGAAAUUAGAAAUGGAAAUAAUGAUUUUCUAAUGUAGUCUAAUUAGGAAACUGAGAAUAAAAUGGUUCCCUCUAAAAGAUACAAGAAUCUGUGGAAUAAAGUAUAUUCCAGUUAUCAGUGGCAUUCCUCAGUUAAGGCAAUAAAAAAUAAUUUUACCUUCAGGCAUGUGUAUUAAAAAAUAGUAAUUGAUUUGUUUGCUGGUCUUGGUUUGCUUUCUUAGUUUAAAUUGCACUUAUCAAGUAAGCCCUAAGCACAAAAAAUCACACCUAAGCCAUUAGGCUAUUUGGGGCAUCAUAUUCCCUCCAGUACUAUGUUUCUCCAGUCCCAUGGAAAUGCAGGGGCCACCAUUCCUAAGGGUUAAUAGUGGCUCACUCUAGGAUGAAGGCCUUGAGUUAUGAGUGAAUAACAUCAAGAGAACAUUAGAGAAAUAAUCAUCAAGACUUCAGGUUCUGACUUUAGGAUAUAAUUUUCAUCCCCAUCUUAGAAGCACUACGUUUGCCUCUUUUCAAUAGUCCUGCUCUAUGGUAGGCACUGCUUCCAGAAGUAACACUGAUAGUAACACGUUCCUUAUUUGGGGUAAAUGGUUUCCCAAAAUGGAUCUACUAGCUGAAGGGAGGUAGAGAAGGAAGAUGGUUACAGAAAACUGAAAUCAUGGGAUGGAGCUAGUUGUCCUACUUACAUGCCAGUCAGUGUUCCCCAAAAGACCUCUCUCCAGCCUCCUCCUCUCUUCCAAGAUCUAGACUUACAAAUACAACAGUGGGCAUCUCCACUGUCUCAGAGGCUUCACACAAGGUCCAUACUCCAGUAUCCUCUCCCCGCCUCCCUGGGUUCCCUUCCUUGGUGGGUAGCACCACCACCUAUGUGGUAUCUAGCUCACAAAAUAACUUCUCCCUUGCUCCAGCUACAGUAAAUCCUGCCCAAAAGAACUUUCAGUUUUACUUGCUUUAUUCUUUUCCCAUUCCCAAUGUCUUAGGUGCUUAAGUUAACAUUUCCGUAGCACCCAACACUUUUGUUUGUUUUAUGGUCUUCCACACUAUGUGAGCCCCCAUGAUAGAGGUGCUGUGUCUAUCUUGUUCAACAUUGUAUCCUAGAACAGGAUCUGGUCUUUAAUAAAGCCUUCUUUUAAAAAAACAUUGAGUGAACAUAAUAUUUGUGAAUUAACUCUAUAUGAUACACAGCCAUCAUGAGAAACAUUAGUUUUUUCCACUUAUAUUCAGUGUGAGUUUUAUAUUACUCUGAUCCUCACACUACUGAAAGGCAGCUAAUCUGGAGAAAUGUGACUUUCAUCGGGGGUAAAAGGAAUAAUUUGAGAGAAUGGGGCAUUUUAGAGGAAUGGAGGUCUUACCAGGAAGAUAAAGGAAGGUACUUGAAACAGGUGAAAAAAUUGUACUGACACUGGUCAUCCACAACAGAAAAGAAGAAGACUGAGAGGUAAGACUGGGUUGCAUAAAGGGGCAAUACUUGCCACUCUAAGUCUGUGCCCAUGAAUCUAUAAAGUAGCUGAGAUCAUGAGCUUUGGGACCUGAAUGGCUUGGGUUUGGAUCUUACCUCUGCUGUUAACUAACUGUGUCACCACGGGCAACUUUUUAACUACUCUGAACCUUUCCUCUUUGAAAUAGACCUACCAAUGCUUAACUCACAAGGCCACUAAAAGAGUUAAAUGAGGGUGUGGCAUAGAGUAUUUAGCACAUGCCUUCGUAAGCACUUUUCUAUAAUAAGCACUCAAAUGGUAGCAUACCAACUAUUAUUAUUUUUGUAGUAUCAUCCUAUAAUUAUAUUUUUGUUAAAGUUGGAGAUUUUUAAAUGUUUAAUGUUUAUUUUUUGUUUAUGCUCUAGAUUGCAUGGCUAUUCUGAAUUGUGAAGUUGCUAAAAAAAAAAAAAAAGAAAGAAAGGAAAAAAAGAGAAGAAAAAGAAAACCCCACAAAAACUCAAAACCUUCAUCUGGAUUGGUGGAGGGCAUUAAAUCAACAAAGGUAGUGCAUGGAUUACCAGUUUAUGACUCAAGAAGAAAACAACUUAUAAUUUCUCUGUAACUCAGAGACUGAAGUAAAUUGGGACCCUUCUAAAGUAGAACAAGAUUACUAUUCAGAGAUGCUAUUUUCAGCAGAGAAAAGGUGAAGAAAAGACGCUUACUACUUCAGCAAUAAGAACGGAGCAGUAUUCUUCCUUCCAGUUGGAAAGGCUUUGGACAGCAGUGGGCACGGAUGGAAUCCCAGCCACUCGCUUCCUCCAGAGUGACAGUUCCAACCUGUGGGAGCCAUGGAGUCUUUGCCAGAAGUCUUUGAAAGCAUUAAAACGAAUGGGCCAUGCCUAUGCCUUCUACUCAUUUUUGGAUGUACACUGAUGCUACCAUCAUGCACUUAUUUCUCUGCCUUCCUUGUGUUGUUGGUGGGGUUACAAGGACCAUCACUGAGGUGCAACAAGGGGACUUGCCAGAUAGGAGAUGCCUGGUGCCAGAGCCAACAUAUGCUUUCUGUACUGAGGCACAGGAACCAGGUGUCUGGCCACCGUUCCUGCUCACCAUUUAGCCUGACCAGUAGCUAUGGCUUUUAACUGCAUUUGUCAGGCAAAGAACAAGUGGAAGCCAUGCAGGAGCUUCGGCAUCACAAGAUGCUCUAGACCCAUCUCACUUAUUCCAGCACUAGAACCAACUUCUCCAAAGAGCUGUCUUUUUGUUGAAGGAUGGUGUUUAGAAACCAACUGAUUGUGGCCAUUAUAACUGGGAUAUCACUGCUUCUAGGCCCUAUCAGUGGACGGAGUAGGAAAUAUCCUGUUGUCUUAGACCAUGAGAAGAAGGGCCGUAGUCUAAAGAUGGAAGGAGUCCGAGUCCCUGAGGACAUUGGGGUAGAGCCACCAUUCAGCUUACCCAACCGCUUUCAUCGUAAUUGAAGCCACCGUUAUUUUGUCAUUUUGCCACUCAUAGUUAAGGUUAAUGCUUACUGAUAUAAAGUAUUCCUGUAGGCUUAGCUUGGCUGGACUUCUUCCGGUCAGAAGGGCCAUCUUAAAGACUUUAUACAUAGAUGCAAAAGUCUGUUUUUAUACUCCCAUCAUUAUAACAUAGCAGAAAGCCCUUUACAAUAUAUAUGUCUCUUGGCAUUUUAAAAUCUCAUGCAGGGAACCAGGGCAGAAGAUUGGUAACAUACGAAGUGUAUUAAAAGGCAAUGAUCUUUAGGACCCUCCUCAAUGUGGGAGCCAGUCCUUAAGAAUAGUUGGGCUGAGUUAGGGGUGACGGUACGAGGAAGCAAGUGGCUGGUAGAGGGUAACAGGUGAGAGGCAUCUGUGGAAAAUGUUCUAAAAAGAAAAUCUUGAAAAAUAAUUAGCUUAACUAAUUUAGCUUUUUAAAUGUAAGCAAAAUAUCUAGUUAGGAGGAAAAGACCGUGUUAUGCCAUGGCAUCUAGGGAUACACAAAUUUGCUUAUUAUCUUAAAUAAAAGAAUGCAAGUAAAUAUCUAACACAGCACUUGGAAUCUAGCGAUCAAUGUGUUAACUGCUAAUAUAGUAUUGUUACUAUAUUAAAACAAAAGAAUUAAGCUGCCCAGAGACUGCUCUUACUGUGGUGCAGUAGAGGAAGCCCUCUUGUUAUCACCAUCCAUCUAAGUGACCUGGCCCAUUAGUCUCUAUUCAUUAACCAACUGAAUUGCUGACUGAAUAAAGUGAGGUCUCUCCUUUAACUUACUGUUUAACUUUUAACUUAUGUCUUGUUUCCUGGUAAUUUUUAGGUUGACUGCAUCAUAUAGGAAUAAUAAAAGUAUUAGUAGCUUGUUUUAUUGAG